rnacentral:sRNA from 1 species
CAGUCUAGUCAUAGGGGGAGGAUGCGAACCGAUAAGAGGUUCGACGAAGGCGCUGAAAGCGACUUCGAACAACGCGCAAGGCGCGUUGGCCCGGAGGGCGGAAAGCCGGAGGCUUGGAGUAAUCCUCCCCCUCCACCA